rnacentral:lncRNA from 1 species
GAAUGCUUUCAGCUUUUAUGCAUUCGCUUGAUAUCUGACCUAUUUCAAGCUAUGCAGCUAUUCUCAUCUGAAGUCAUCAGUUGGGAUGGAAACCAGUCUCUCAGCAGUACUUAAACAGGUCAGAAAGUUGCCAGCAGUUCCAAUCUAUUAUUUUUAUCUCAAAGGAAAAAUCAGCAGUAGAGUGGCUUCCCUCCUUCGACUCAGUUUCAGGGAAGGGGUGAGAACACCCUGUGAAGAGGAAGGCAGAGAUUGGAAUGAUGCAGAAGAAGCCAACGAAUCUAGGAGAGAGGCAUGAAUUUCCCCUUCAUAGUCCUUGUAAGGAGCCAACCCUGCUGCACCUUUAUCUCAAAUGUCCAGCUUCCAGAACUGCAAGACAGUAAAUUUCUGCUGUUUAAGACAAAAAAAAAAAAAGUUAAGCUUUAUAUGCACAAAGCAAGACAUUACUUAUAUUAAAUGUUGUAUCUGUGAUCUUUACAACAUUUGUCAAAUAGUCUAUUAGCCAAUCAGUUGGUAGGCAGAAGUAUCUAAAUCACAUAAAAUAAUUGUGCCUAAAUAAUUCUGGUAACUUAUGUAUAAUCCGUUGAACAUCUUGACAAUCACUAAUUUAACUAAUGCAAGUUUGUCAAAUAGGGGAACUGGGGAUCCUGAUACUAAUAUAAUUUUAGAAGAUGAACAACAGUAAAGCAUUUAUGGACUGAGAGCUUAAUGUGUUUAUUUCUUUUAAAAUUUUACAAACUGCUGGGUGUGUUGGCUUAUGCCUCUAAUCUCAGCACUUUGGGAGACUGAGGCAGGUGAAUUGCUUGAGCCCAGGAGUUCACGACCAGCUUGGGCAACGUAGUGAGAACUAAUUUCUACUAAAAAUUAAACAAAAAAAUAGUCAAGUGUGGUGGUACACACCUGAAAUCCCAGUUAUUCUGGAGACUGUGGCAGUAAGAUCAUUUGAGCCCAAGAUACUGAGACUACUGUGAGCCAUGAUUGUGCCACUGCACUCCAGCUCAGGCAACAGACUGAGACCCUGUCUCAAAAAUAAAUAAAUACAAAUAAAAUAAAAUUUUACAAACUUUCUGAUUUAGCAGUCACUAAAAACCACAUGAAAAAUCUAUUAUAUAUACACCAUCUUUUAAAAUAAAUACAUUGUAAUUUUGAAAAAUUGUGUUAUUUCCCUGAAAUCAACGUUAGCAAACAAUGGGGCUAAUAUAAAUCCAGAUAUGUUCAACUUCAAAGCCUAUACUACAAUUACUCUUGUAAAAAUAGUUUUCCAGUUAUGCCUCAACUUGUUUUAACUAGUGGAAAAAAAAAGCUUUCCAGCCCAUUAUGAGAAAGAAAAUUUAACUUCUCUAUUACAUAACUUGAUUACAUAAAUUACUAUAACCUAAUAAGUGCAGUUAACUUGACAUCCUCACUUAACAUAUGGAAGAGCACAUUUAUGACACAUUUAUAGACAUCAGUAUGGCAUUGUAUAUCAGAAAUUAAAAUGUGGAUAAGAUUUUGUCCCCCAAAUUUUACUACAAUAAAUUUGUUUUAAGGAAAUAUUGAAGUAGCAAAGAUGUAUGUUUAAGAAUAUUAAUUAUUACAGUGCUAAAAAAUAAAAUAUAGAACAAAAACUGAAUACAAAAUGUGACUAGAAUGUCAAAUAGAUGUCUACAUUCCCAUAUUUAUUGAAACAUUUUUCAUUAUAGCCAAGAUUUGCAAGCAACCUAAGUGCCUCUCAACAAAUAAAGAGAUUGUUUAAAUGUUUUGUGUGUGUGUGUGUGUAUAAUGGAAUACUGUUCAAUCUUUAGAAAAAAUAAAAUUCUGCAAUUUGCAACAACAUGAAUAAAGCUAGAGGACAUUUAUACUGAAUGAAAUAAGUCAUGUACAGAUAAACAAAUAUUACAUGCUCUCACUUAUAUGUGCAAGCAAAAAUUUGAGCUUACACAAGUAAGGGGUAAAAUGGUUACUACCAAAAACUAGGGCAGGAGUGCAUGGAGAAAGGAAAAUGUUGGUUAAAAGGUACAAAAUUUCAAUUAGAUAAGAGAAAAAAGUUAUGGUGAUCUAAUGCAUACCAAGUAAUUACAAUUAAUAAUAAUGAAUUUUCUAUUUAUAAUUGCAAAAAGGGGGAUUUUAAAUGUUCUUAACAAAAAUAAAUGUGAGAAUUGACAGAUAUAUUAAUUAACCUAAUUUGUUCAAUCCACAAUGUAUACCUGUAUCUAUGCAUCACA